rnacentral:rRNA from 1 species
CCCUUAGAUGUUCUGGGCUGCACGCGCGCUACACUGAUGCAUCCAACAAGUUUUUUCCUUGUUCGAGAGGACUAGGUAAUCUUUUGAGAAUGCAUCGUGAUGGGGAUAGAUUAUUGCAAUUAUUAAUCUUGAACGAGGAAUUCCUAGUAAACGCAGAUCAUCAAUCUGCAUUGAUUACGUCCCUGCCCUUUGUACACACCGCCCGUCGCACCUACCGAUUGGAUGGUCCGGUGAAGCCUCGGGAUUGUGGUUCUUGCCGCUUUAUUGUGGCGUGACCGCGAGAACUUGUCUAAACCUUAUCAUCUAGAGGAAGGUGAAGUCGUAACA